GACGAACGCUGGCGGCGUGCUUAACACAUGCAAGUCGAACGGAAAGGCCCUGCUUUUGUGGGGUGCUCGAGUGGCGAACGGGUGAGUAACACGUGAGUAACCUGCCCUUGACUUUGGGAUAACUUCAGGAAACUGGGGCUAAUACCGGAUAGGAGCUCCUGCUGCAUGGUGGAGGUUGGAAAGUUUCGGCGGUUGGGGAUGGACUCGCGGCUUAUCAGCUUGUUGGUGGGGUAGUGGCUUACCAAGGCUUUGACGGGUAGCCGGCCUGAGAGGGUGACCGGCCACAUUGGGACUGAGAUACGGCCCAGACUCCUACGGGAGGCAGCAGUGGGGAAUAUUGCACAAUGGGCGGAAGCCGGAUGCAGCAACGCCGCGUGCGGGAUGACGGCCUUCGGGUUGUAAACCGCUUUCGCCUGUGACGAAGCGUGAGUGACGGUAAUGGGUAAAGAAGCACCGGCUAACUACGU
rnacentral:rRNA from 1 species